GGGGAAUAUUGCACAAUGGGCGGAAGCCUGAUGCAGCAACGCCGCGUGAGGGAUGACGGCCUUCGGGUUGUAAACCUCUUUUAGCAGGGAAGAAGCGAGAGUGACGGUACCUGCAGAAAAAGCGCCGGCUAACUACGUGCCAGCAGCCGCGGUAAUACGUAGGGCGCAAGCGUUAUCCGGAAUUAUUGGGCGUAAAGAGCUCGUAGGCGGUUUGUCGCGUCUGCUGUGAAAUCCCGAGGCUCAACCUCGGGCCUGCAGUGGGUACGGGCAGACUAGAGUGCGGUAGGGGAGAUUGGAAUUCCUGGUGUAGCGGUGGAAUGCGCAGAUAUCAGGAGGAACACCGAUGGCGAAGGCAGAUCUCUGGGCCGUAACUGACGCUGAGGAGCGAAAGGGUGGGGAGCAAACAGGCUUAGAUACCCUGGUAGUCCACCCCGUAAACGUUGGGAACUAGUUGUGGGGACCAUUC
rnacentral:rRNA from 1 species